GACGGGCGCAGACUUGAAGCGGGCAUGGUAGUAGCUGUGGCCAUUCGCUAAAAGGAAGUUACCUGAGGGACCUGCUAGGAGUGUGUGGGAUUGCACCGAGAUGUUCCUCAAGUAGCCGGAUAUGACACCAUCGUGGCAACAGAUGGUGCAAACGGGAUCCUUGUCCCCGAGUGGUCCUGGGCAGAGAGGCCUGUCAGGCUGGCGGUGACUGGCAGGGUCUGGUUCCAAUCCUGAGCAUGGCAGCAUGGCUAGUCACCCUGUCGUCAUGGAGAAGCAUCUUCAUUUUCCUCCCUUGAAGAAGGAUGCUCAAGUUCCAAUCCUCAAAGAGGUCUGUGCUGUGAAAGGUUAACAAGCAACAGACCCGCAUUUGUCCCUAAGGCCGGUGGGGACGCUGGUGACAAUACACCAUUACUCAGUUUCAGAAUCCCCAGAAACCACUUCUCGGAGGUACGUACUAUGAGUGGACACAAACGGCUUAUUGCGUGCUGACUGGCAACUGGCCAGUCAUUGCAUCUGACCCUCAGAUAUGUUCAUCCUGUCUAGGGACUAGCAUUUUCCAGAAGCAGAGCAUCAGUUUCCGCUGGGGCAAGUGCCAGGAAUGGCUUCCUAGUAUUUUCCGAGUCCCCCUGGGGUUGCACAUUCACCCCAUGAGAGGCGAGCCUUCUCCAGAAGCCAAGAGGCCGUGGCUGUGUCCUUCAUUCGCUCCCUUGAGGAAUUCCAGAUACCAUGACGCCCACAUUUCCUGGAUGCGUGGCAGGCUGCUCUCACCUCUCAUGUCUGGUGAUGCUCACGGACGACUGACAGACAGACACGCAUCCUUCCCCUGCCUGUCCUGCCACACGUAGAGGGUGUCCACUCUCCGCUCACACUGGUUCAACGUUAAUUCAGGGCCAUUUCUAACAAGCCCUCUGAUCUGACAGGUUUACCGGCCAGCCCUGGCAUUUGGCAGCUGUGGGACCCAGGGCAUCCCGUACCCACUGCUCAAUGUGCCGUGCCACAGGCAAAGGUGGCACUGGAGGUGUACCCAGCCUGUCACUCACUCUGACAUCAUGAGCCCACAAGAUCACGGGGGGUCAUUGGUCAUUAACGAUCCUUCUCAGAUGGGAGAUAGAGGGUUAGGAGCUAAGCAACCUGCCCACAGUCCCUCAAGGACACCAGAGCCACGGUCCCACAGCCCGGGACAGUGAGGGGCGACAGCAGCUGUGUUUUUCCAAGCAAGGUUCAGGGCUGCACAUGACUUGUCUCACAACAACUGCCAUAGACAAAGGCCACCAACUGCUGAACUCACUGUCACCAUCUCCAGGACCCCAAACUCUGAAGGACUGUCCUUGAGUUCCAAGGCCCUUCUGCAACAACAUACAACCUCCAGCGUCCCAUGUCCCCUGGUAGUAUGUUCAAAUGCAGGUUCUGCAACUCUGCUCCAGUCUGCUGGGUCAGGACAGCUGCGGAGGGGCUGGGAGGCUUAACUACACACUGUUCCCCUCCGGCAUCCUGAUGCCCACACAAUGGGAGUUUGUUUGAGUGGCAGAUGAGGCAAGGAAACUGAGGUUCAGUGGGGAAAGAAAUCCGCAUGGGUAAUUCCCCUGCCUGGGGCCAGCUCGGGCCUCUUGACCUCAGCUCUGGUGUCUCAGCCACACCCGGACGAUCCUGCCGGCAGCUCACCACAAAGGGCUGCAGCCAGGACAGGCACUCUGCAAAUGGCUGUAUCCGUGGCCCUCGGAGGCCCUUCAAAGGUCUGGAGACUACACUCCCAAAAUAAAUCUCUUAGCU
rnacentral:lncRNA from 1 species